AGUGAACGCUGGCGGUAGGCCUAACACAUGCAAGUCGAACGGCAGCACAGUAAGAGCUUGCUCUUACGGGUGGCGAGUGGCGGACGGGUGAGGAAUACAUCGGAAUCUACUUUUUCGUGGGGGAUAACGUAGGGAAACUUACGCUAAUACCGCAUACGACCUACGGGUGAAAGCAGGGGAUCUUCGGACCUUGCGCGAUUGAAUGAGCCGAUGUCGGAUUAGCUAGUUGGCGGGGUAAAGGCCCACCAAGGCGACGAUCCGUAGCUGGUCUGAGAGGAUGAUCAGCAACACUGGAACUGAGACACGGUACAGACUCCUACGGGAGGCAGCAGUGGGGAAUAUUGGACAAUGGGCGCAAGCCUGAUCCAGCCAUACCGCGUGGGUGAAGAAGGCCUUCGGGUUGUAAAGCCCUUUUGUUGGGAAAGAAAAGCAGCAGGUUAAUACCCCGCUGUUCUGACGGUACCCAAAGAAUAAGCACCGGCUAACUUCGUG
rnacentral:rRNA from 1 species